rnacentral:rRNA from 1 species
GACGAACGCUGGCGGCGUGCUUAACACAUGCAAGUCGAACGGAAAGGCCCUGCUUGUGUGGGGUGCUCGAGUGGCGAACGGGUGAGUAACACGAGAGUAACCUGCCCUAGACUUUGGGAUAACUUCAGGAAACUGGGGCUAAUACCGUAUAGGAGAUCCUGCUGCAUGGUGGGGGUUGGAAAGUUUAGGCGGUCGGGGAUGGACGCGCGGAUGAUCAACUGGUUGGUGGGGUAGUGGCUUGCCAAGGCUUUGACGGGUAGCCGGCCGGAGAGGGUGACCGGCGACAUUGGGACUGAGAUACGGCCCAGACUCCUACGGUAGGCAGCAGUGGGGAAUAUUGCACAAUGGGCGGAAGCCUGAUGCAGCAACGCCGCGUGCGGGAUGACGGCCUUCGGGUUGUAAACCGCUUUCGCCUGUGACGAAGCGUGAGUGACGGUAAUGGGUAAAGAAGCACCGGCUAACUACGUG